rnacentral:rRNA from 1 species
CUACGGGGCGCAGCAGUGGGGAAUAUUGCACAAUGGGCGCAAGCCUGAUGCAGCCAUGCCGCGUGUAUGAAGAAGGCCUUCGGGUUGUAAAGUACUUUCAGCGGGGAGGAAGGGAGUAAAGUUAAUACCUUUGCUCAUUGACGUUACCCGCAGAAGAAGCACCGGCUAACUCCGUGCCAGCAGCCGCGGUAAUACGGAGGGUGCAAGCGUUCAUCGGAAUUACUGGGCGUAAAGCGCACGCAGGCGGUUUGUUAAGUCAGAUGUGAAAUCCCCGGGCUCAACCUGGGAACUGCAUCUGAUACUGGCAAGCUUGAGUCUCGUAGAGGGGGGUAGAAUUCCAGGUGUAGCGGCGAAAUGCGUAGAGAUCUGGAGGAAUACCGGUGGCGAAGGCGGCCCCCUGGACGAAGACUGACGCUCAGGUGCGAAAGCGUGGGGAGCAAACAGGAUUAGAUACCCGAGUAGUC